AGGAUUUUUGGAGGGAAAAGCAAUAUUACACAAGAAAACCACAUUUUCUCUUGUUUGUUACCAAAAUAUCUAGAGAAGCCAUAUCCACCUGCCUUUUUGUGGCUAACAGGGGUCUGAGCCCAUAAACUGACUGAGGAACAAAUCUUGUCCGUCGGGGGAGAAAACCAGUCAGCUGGGGGUUAAGUGGAUGGGAGGGUGGAGACGCCUCAGGAAAAACCUGCCAGAGCUGUAAAGGGUCAGAGCUUCAAACGGGAGUGAAAAAGCAGGGGGAAGUUAGAACUGAGCUCUCUUGCUUUCAAAUUCAAAAAUUUUCAGAUUUGCUUCAAACGUAUACUUAAGAACUCUAGGGGCCAGCCCUGUGGCCCGGUGGCCGAGUGGUUAAGUUCACACGCUCCGCUUAGAUGGCCCACGGUUUUGCCAGUUUGGAUCCUGGGCACGGACCUAGCACCACUCGUCAGGCCAUGCUGAGGUGGCGUCCCACAUAGCACAACUAGAAGGACCUACAACGAAGAUAUACAACUACAUACUAGGGGGCUUUGGGGAGAAAAAGAAGAAGAAAAAAAGAGAUUGGCAACAGAUGUUAGCUCAUGGCCAAUCUUAAAAAAAAACACCUCUAAUCCGUAAAAAUCUCCAUCCUUGAACUGGAAGGAGAACACGUGCAUGGAAGCGCAUGAAAGCUCUGAAGAGACGCUACCAAACUGACAGGAGAGUUAUCUGCUGGGAAGCCGGAGCAGGCCAGGUGUUCAAGCAAGAGCAGAACAGGACACUGGAUCCCUCUUUCUCCUGGAUCAUCUUCUCUCCUGGAUCACCUUCUCUCCUGGAUCACCCUCUCUCCUGGAUCGCCCUCUGUCCUGGAUCACCCUCUCUCCUGGAUCAUCUUCUCUCCUGGAUCACCCACUCUCCUGGAUCACCCUCUCUCCUGGAUCACCUUCUCUCCUGGAUCACCUUCUCUCCUGGAUCACCCUCUCUCCUGGAUCGCCCUCUCUCCUGGAUCACCCUCUCUCCUGGAUCAUCUUCUCUCCUGGAUCACCCACUCUCCUGGAUCACCCUCUCUCCUGGAUCAUCUUCUCUCCUGGAUCACCCUCUCUCCUGGAUCACUCUCUCUCCUGGAUCACCCUCUCUCCUGAAUUACCCUCUCUCCUGGAUCACCCUCUCUCCUGGAU
rnacentral:lncRNA from 1 species